rnacentral:rRNA from 1 species
AUGACGUCAAAUCAUCAUGCCCUUUAUGACCUGGGCUACACACGUGCUACAAUGGCCUAUACAAGGGUAGCGAAGCUGUGAGGUGGAGCCAAUCCCAAAAAGUAGGUCUCAGUUCGGAUUGUAGGCUGCAACUCGCCUACCAUGAAGUCGGAAUCGCUAGUAAUACGCGGAUCAGCAUGCCGCGGUGAAUACGUUCCCGGGCCUU